rnacentral:tRNA from 1 species
GUCAGCGUGGUCUAGUGUGUCAUGGCGUCCGUCUCACACACGGAAGAUCCCGGGUUCAACUCCCGGCGCCGACA